CCUACGGGGCGCAGCAGUGAGGAAUAUUGGUCAAUGGCCGCAAGCCUGAACCAGCCAAGUCGCGUGAAGGACGACUGCCCUAUGGGUUGUAAACCUCUUUUAUAAAGGAAUAAUGUGUGCUACGUGUACCAUUAUGCAUGUACUUUAUGAAUAAGCAUCGGCUAACUCCGUGCCAGCAGCCGCGGUAAUACGGAGGAUCCGAGCGUUAUCCGGAUUUAUUGGGUUUAAAGGGUGCGUAGGGGGGUUUUUAAGUUAGUGGUAAAACGUCGGGGCUAAACCUUGAAUUGCAAUUUAUACUUUUAGACUUGAGUGCAGAUGAGGUAGGCGGAAUUAGUGGUGUAGCGGUGAAAUGCUUAGAUAUAACGUAGAACUCCGAUAGCGAAGGCAGCUUACCAGACUGCGACUGACGCUGAAGCACGAGAGCGUGGGUAGCGAACAGGAUUAGAUACCCUAGUAGUC
rnacentral:rRNA from 1 species